rnacentral:rRNA from 1 species
AAUCCUGGCUCAGGAUGAACGCUAGCUACAGGCUUAACACAUGCAAGUCGAGGGGCAGCAUGAACUUAGCUUGCUAAGUUUGAUGGCGACCGGCGCACGGGUGAGUAACACGUAUCCAACCUUCCGUUUACUCAGGGAUAGCCUUUCGAAAGAAAGAUUAAUACCUGAUAGUAUGGUGAGAUUGCAUGAUAGCACCAUUAAAAGAUUUAUUGGUAAACGAUGGGGAUGCGUUCCAUUAGGUAGUAGGG